ensembl:lncRNA
AGGCUAGGGUUGAUGUUUUUGUAUCAGAGAAGGGAUGACACCUUAGAUCUAUUUUAUGUGGCAUUUUCAAAAUGGGUUGGCCAUGCAGGUUAUGUGACGCCUCUUCCGAGACACAGGCUGAGUUACUUGGUUAUCUGUUAAAUCACAGUCAGUUUUCAAGGAUUUCUGAAUUGCUAAGGAACAUCUUCAGGACCUAUGGUCUCCUUGAAGACAUAGAUGUCAACAGCAGACAGAAAAUUACUCUGCAGGCCCUUCCCAUCUUCCUGCGGGAAGAUGCUGCUGGAUUUUUUAAGAACAGGAACAUACGCAUUUAAUUCAACUGUGUGUCCUUCUAUUUAACCCUCUUUGAUACUACCUUGCAACCAAAGAGGAGUGAUAACUUAAGAAUAUCAACUCCAUUUCCAGCGUCAAUUUUGUUAGUUUUAACAAUGGAUUCAAAAUGAUCAAGUUCAUUGAACUUAUCCAAAAUUUAAAUAGCGAUUACUUCAAAUGUUUGUUUGUCAAUUUAUUAUGUUUCAAUUCAUCAACUUCCUCAAAGAAAAUGAGUGUGAAUAAGUUGUCUAGUUUAGAGUAGUAAAUACUUAAAAUGUUUGUUUGUUGAAAUUAUUUGUUUUGAUUGAACAUGAUCACGUUCUCCUCGCUGUGCUCACUCUGAAUCAGUACUUGAUCAUGCGUGGAAUUAAGGAUGUUGGUUUUUCCCCAGAGAGAAGACGGUGGUCGAAUUAACUAAUAAAAUCGAUAUUUUACAAAUCAUUUUUUAGGAUGUCAGAACCAAAACACUAAUUGAUGAUGCAGGCCUAAAACAUAAUGAGUCCUACACCAAUGGUGACCCCAAUCUACAGACAUUGAAGCUAAUUUGAUUUACUGAUUGCUGUCGGG